UACGGAGGGUGCGAGCGUUAAUCGGAAUAACUGGGCGUAAAGGGUACGCAGGCGGGCUUUUAAGUGAGAUGUGAAAUCCCCGGGCUUAACCUGGGAAUAGCAGCUCAGACUGGGGGUCUAGAGUACUUUAGGGAGGGGUAGAAUUCCACGUGUAGCGGUGAAAUGCGUAGAGAUGUGGAGGAAUACCGAAGGCGAAGGCAGCCCCUUGGGAAUGUACUGACGCUCAUGUACGAAAGCGUGGGGAGCCAACAGG
rnacentral:rRNA from 1 species